GUGAGCAUCAAUAUGAAUUCUCUUAUGCAACUUUGCUAGACAAGGACCCCCACCCUAUAGCUCCCUCCUUAUUCACAAUUGGCUAUAAUUGGGCCUUCAUUGAUCCUCUCUUUCUUCUUCUUUCUGUUUAAUCUACCAAAAGAGAUUCUUCACAGGGAUAAAGUUUGUAAUGCCUCAUUAUGGAUCGCAAAAGACACAGGGAGACCUCUUCAGCCGCAAGGAUGGGAACCACAAUGUGCACAAGAACCUGCUUCAAUACCGGCCCUGAAGUUUGGUCUUCAUAUAUAAACACCUCUUUCAUUCUUGUCACUUGUAUCAAAUUUGGGCUUCACAUGCUGCCUAUACCGAUUGCCAAAUCCUUGUUGACGAUCUGUUACGCCGAUAGGGUUCGAGCUCGAACAAUAUGAUAUCUCACACAUGGUAAAUCCUUAAUCCUUCCCCAUCUUACUAAGACUACAUGACAUUCUUGUGAAUUAUGACCAAUGCUAGGUAUAUAUAAGCAAUAAUGAUUUCAAAUCCAGAGAAAAAUCAUACUCUGGCAACUUUACGUGAGAGUGGUUUUUCUGAGGUGAGUUUCCAAAAGUUUGCGUUGCUUU